GACGAACGCUGGCGGCGUGCCUAAUACAUGCAAGUCGAGCGGACCAAGAAGAGCUUGCUCUUUGAGGUUAGCGGCGGACGGGUGAGUAACACGUGGGCAACCUGCCUGUAAGCUUGGGAUAACUCCGGGAAACCGGUGCUAAUACCGAAUACAACAAAGGACCGCAUGGUCCCUUGUGAAAAGACCUUGUGUCACUUACAGAUGGGCCCGCGGCGCAUUAGCUUGUUGGUGGGGUAACGGCCUACCAAGGCGACGAUGCGUAGCCGACCUGCGAGGGUGAUCGGCCACACUGGGACUGAGACACGGCCCAGACUCCCACGGGAGGCAGCAGUAGGGAAUCUUCCGCAAUGGACGAAAGUCUGACGGAGCAACGCCACGUGAGCGAUGAAGGUUUUCGGAUCGUAAAGCUCUGUUGUCAGGGAAGAACCGCCGGGAUAACCUCCCGGUCUGACGGUGCCUGGCGAGAAAGCCCCGGCUAACUACGUGCCAGCCGCCGCCGUAAUAC
rnacentral:rRNA from 1 species